UCCUUUUGUAGAUAAUCUAAGGUCUAGCCUGCCCACUGAAGUUUUAAAUGGCCGUGGUAUUUUGACCGUGCUAAGGUAGCAUAAUCAUUAGUUUUUUAAUUAAAAACUGGAAUGAAAGGUUGGAUGAGAAAAUAGCUGUCUCUAUUAAAUUUAAUUAGAAUUUUAUUUUUAAGUUAAAAAGCUUAGUUAUUGUUAAAAGACGAGAAGACCCUAUAGAGUUUAAUUAUUUAGUAAAAAUUAUAUUUUAGUAUUAAUUUAUUUAUUUUAUUAAAUAAUUUAAUUGGGGUGAUUGAAAAAUUUAAUUAACUUUUUUUAUUUAAUAACAUUAAUUUAUGAAUAAAUGAUCCAAUAUUUUUGAUUAUAAGAUAAAAUUACCUUAGGGAUAACAGCGUAAUUUUUUUAAAAAGUUCAUAUUAAAAAAAAAGAUUGCGACCUCGAUGUUGGAUUAAAAUAGAUUUUUGGUGUAGAAGCUAAAAUAUUAGGUCUGUUCGACCUUUAAAAUUUUACAUGAU
rnacentral:rRNA from 1 species